GAAUAAUAUAUUUUCAUUGGUAUGUGUUGCAUUUUUUUUUGUGCGUUAAGUCAACGGAAUUAUAAGUGAGAGGUGAAGGUUUAGGAAAAUUUGAUAUUUUGCAUCUUAUUGAAUCCUCCAUUCCAUUGUCGGCAUCCUUUAUUCUAUUUAAAGAUUAAAUAACAAGUAUCACAAUGUGUAUUUUAUUCAAAUGCUUUGAUCUGCCAUUAAGGGAUUUUAUUGAAUUCUGGUUCAUUAUAUUUCUGGUGAACUACCUUGUGGAUGUGUUGCGGAGAUGUUUAAAUAAUGAACAGAACAAUCAAGCAGAACACCAGGUACGGCCUCAUAUUCCAGCACAACAACAAUUACAAGGACAAUCACAAGUUCUGGCCCUACCACAAAUCCAUGCGGCACAGCAUAAUCAUGUCCAACCAGAAAACCGUAUAGCAGGUCAAGCGAAUAACGCCAUUCAAAAUUAUCAAUAUGUGCCAGUUGUUGAUAUAGUUCCACAUAGAUCUGGGGAUAUUGACUUGUUGAUAUACAAUAAUGGUAAGCAGAUAGCAAUAAGAAUCAAAAACAAAUAAAUUGCUGGAAAUUGCUACUCCCAAAAUUUUAAGUACAGUAAAUUCGAAGUUAUCAGAAGUACCAUAAUGAUAUAUAUACAAAUAUCAUAUUGGGACAGAUAUCAUCAUGUCAUUCGUAGAAGAAAUUUGGUAUUCAAAAUUUGAAAUUCUCAAUUUGGGUAAGAAACGAGCUCCAGAACUUCGAUUCGUAUUUAAAAACUUUGAUAUUUUUUUGAACUUGGAUUCAACAUUACAGGAUGCUCGAGUCCGGUGCGAUAAAUUUGAAGAAGUGUUUAUUCUAACUUGUAUACACAUUGUCGAUAGGUCAUUGCUGUAUACAGGGGGAUUUUUCCAUUAAUUUAACUACACAAGGUGUUGAGAGAGUAGCCGUUCAUUUGUAUUUUUUAUCCUACGAAAUAAAUAGAUACCCUCACCUCACUUGUGAUUCCACACCAUCUAUAUUUGUAAGUUUU